GUGCGAGUCGAACGGAUCCUUCGGGAUUAGUGGCGGACGGGUGAGUAACACGUGGGAACGUGCCCUUUGGUUCGGAACAACUCAGGGAAACUUGAGCUAAUACCGGAUAAGCCUUUCGAGGGAAAGAUUUAUCGCCAUUGGAGCGGCCCGCGUAGGAUUAGCUAGUUGGGGAGGUAAAAGCUCACCAAGGCGACGAUCCUUAGCUGGUCUGAGAGGAUGAUCAGCCACAUUGGGACUGAGACACGGCCCAAACUCCUACGGGAGGCAGCAGUGGGGAAUCUUGCGCAAUGGGCGAAAGCCUGACGCAGCCAUGCCGCGUGAAUGAUGAAGGUCUUAGGAUUGUAAAAUUCUUUCACCGGGGACGAUAAUGACGGUACCCGGAGAAGAAGCCCCGGCUAACUUCGUGCCAGCAGCCGCGGUAAUACGAAGGGGGCUAGCGUUGCUCGGAAUUACUGGGCGUAAAGGGAGCGUAGGCGGAUAGUUUAGUCAGAGGUGAAAGCCCAGGGCUCAACCUUGGAAUUGCCUUUGAUACUGGCUAUCUUGAGUACGGAAGAGGUAUGUGGAACUCCGAGUGUAGAGGUGAAAUUCGUAGAUAUUCGGAAGAACACCAGUGGCGAAGGCGACAUACUGG
rnacentral:rRNA from 1 species